rfam:Cavia porcellus supercont2_40 genomic scaffold, whole genome shotgun sequence.
GGGGAUUUAGCUCAGCGGCAUAAGCGCCUGCCUUGCCAGCAGGCAGUUGUGAGUUCGAUCCCCAGUACCCA